UACGAAGGGGGCUAGCGUUGUUCGGAUUUACUGGGCGUAAAGCGCACGUAGGCGGAUCGUUAAGUCGGGGGUGAAAUCCUGGAGCUCAACUCCAGAACUGCCUUCGAUACUGGCGAUCUAGAGUCCGGAAGAGGUGAGUGGAACUCCUAGUGUAGAGGUGGAAUUCGUAGAUAUUAGGAAGAACACCAAGUGGCGAAGGCGGCUCACUGGUCCGGUACUGACGCUGAGGUGCGAAAGCGUGGGGAGCGAACAGG
rnacentral:rRNA from 1 species